GGUAUCGAGAAAGGGGUCUUCUGAAUCCCUACCAGCUCCUUGGCCUCUGCCGAGGUCUCCUUCUGGACUGCAAAGGAACAUAUGUUUUACCAGAUCUUCAUCACGAAUUACAGGGAGUCAGCUUUUGAGUCCUUUCUCCCCCGGUUCAUGAAGGUUCCUCCCAGAGAGUAAGAUGUCCACUCCUGCUCUCCAGGGUACAGGGUUUCUGGGUUUUGCUCAGUCUUUAUACCCCAAAUAGUUUUCACCAAAAGUCCUUACCCAGAAAAAGCCUGCUUGGUUUGGCUUCUCUCUGUUUCAGCUGCUGCAGCUUCAGCUCAACUUUCACAUGUCACGGGGAGGUAUUCCUCCCUCCCACAUUCCUCCUUCGGUUUUCGGCUGCCCCUGUCCAAACCCACGAGGGCACUUCCAAGCCCCUCGGCCUGUCUCCGUGUUUCUCCAGUCUCAGCUCGGCUGUUGUAAUAUCCUAAUUUCACAGGGGCCAAACACAGCUCUGAUUGGCCCCUCAUCGGAAACUCACCUGGACCAACCACUUCCAGCCUCUCCGGGGGGGUGGCUCAAACCACAACACACUUUAGUUACUGGAGCCAAAAUUAACCAAAAGAUCUUUCACAUAAGAGCCAAUUUCUAUGGCAACUAGAGAGGACAAGGGAGACAUCAGAAUGACACAGCAAGAUAAAGAGGAUUGAAAAAGUAACAUGACUGGGAUCAUAUGUGAUUAAAACAUCUUGUCAUUAAUUGUGGAAAAUGAUAGAAAUGUUUUCCAUGGUGGAAACAAUAUGAAAACGUGAUUGUGUUUCAAAACACUGUAUGUCCAGAUACAGAUUGUAAAAAGAUUUUAUCACUUUGUUUUGCUGCCCUUUUCAUUUUUUGCCUCAGAAAGAGAAAAUUGCUGGAAGAAAUGCUUCCUGAAUAGAAAUAAGUAACAUAGUACCAAAUUCCUAUAUAGAACACUCCUGAGUGAUGCAAUUGUAAAUUGAAAGACUAACAAAAUAAGUAGUAGCAAACCAUCAGGGAAGAAAACUGAGGAAAUUUUGGGGGUCAACCAAAGACAUCUGCUUUUCUAUAUAAUAAAAAAAAAAAAGUUACGUUUAGUAUUAGUUCUAUUCACGUUAGACUCAGCAGAUGUUAACUGGCUUUUGACUAUAUUGAGACUUCUACCAAGUAAACAUAGCAAGGUCUGGUCUGUGUUUCAGUGGUAUCUAUUUCAAAUACUCUUUGGAACAUUAAUCUUUCUGGGAAACCUUGGAUGAGGUGGGAACAGCAGCAACGGCACUAGGUAUUUUCAGCCUGACAGCCCACCCACCAACUGAAAGAGAUGGUCAAUUCUUGCCUUAUAUAAGGUUGCUCAGAGGAAGUCGUGACCUCAGCUGGACUGUGGACAGAGGAGCAUUCAGAAUACACAAAAUUUACCUGCUUCUGGGGAGUGGAGGGAGAAAACAGUACAAAAUUUUGGUUUGGGUUUGUUUUUCAUUUAAUAAAGUGAGAAAAGUAGGGCUCUAAAGGCAUGUGAAAAAUAUAUUGGGUAUGAAAACAGUAAUUUCAGGCAGUCAUUUUUUAAAGCAGAAUCAGUUAAUAAUCAGUUCAAAGCAGAAGGAAUUAAUAAUCUCUGACUACUUCAGUUUCCAAGGUGAUGUGAAAUGUCAGCAAAACUGUCUUGAUCCGAUUGCAAUGCACUUUUUUUUUUCGGUGUUUUCCCUCCACAUCUUCUGCUCUCUGAGCCCUGUUAGACUUCCUAAAUAGAGUAUUAGCAAUAGAGUCUGGUGUUCUUGCCAGAAGUUGUUUCACUUCAGAAUGAUUGAACUGGUUUCUGCACAUAAUAAGUAAGAAGUUUACAAACAUGAAGGUGUUAAGUAUUUUAAUCAUAAGACACUAUGAGACAUGUUCUUUAUAUGUUGAAAAAUAUUUACCACACAAUAAUUUAAAACCAUUUCACAUAGGAAAUGUCUUCAUUGCCUAUGUCAAUUCCUCACUUUAAAGUUUACAAAGCACCAGCUUUCAUAAAAUGGGUCAAUAGUUUACUAGUUCAGGCAGGCAAAAUUUCAGAAUGUUUCAUCCCAAUCUCCCACCACUUUAUGAACUGGCAUCAGACAGUUUUAAAUUAUGAAAACAAUAUCAUCUAUUUGCUGAUUUGCCUGGUGACAUUUUGUUACCAAUCCUUUCUGACUUGUAGCUUUGCUUAUCUCACAGAUGUUCUUAUACCAGAGAUUUCAGUGGGAAUUUUUUUUUUCUUUUUAAUUUUCAGCAAACUGAUCUAUCUGUCAGUGAGAAAUAAGGAAUACAAUUGUUUCUUUAGUGGCAGUGAAAUGCAGGAAGGCUAGGUAUUCCCAGCAAGGGCAAUUGUGAUACUGAAAAACAUUCAGAAACCCUUAGUGACAGGCUAGAACAUUGCUUUUGGAAGAUCUGUUCUAUCGGGUAACUUUGCAGCCACAUUUUUAGAGAAAUAUUUAUAUUGAGGUGAUGAAACUGAGACUCCCAUGGGCAGUUGUAGUCAAUUGUCUGUUUUCUGAUCUAGUUUUUAAGUGCAUGUUGUUGUUCUGUUUGUAUCAUGUCAUUUACACUAUUCCCAGUUUGUAUUUUCAUAUUAUAUGUCCUUGUUCCUUGUCUGAAAAAAAAUGAAGUUCCUAUGUCCAAUUUUUAAAAGUUCUGUUUUUUUUCUCCCUAGCUGAGUUUUAUCCAAUUUUACCAAUUUUUGCAGAGAAAACAUAUACAACCUAAUCUCCUUUCCCUCCUUCCCUUUUUUCACUUUCUUCCUUCUUGUUUCCUUACUUCUCCUCAAUUUCUUGUAAUCUAAAACUGCUUAGUCUUCAUCCAGCAUAAUAAAUUCUAUCUAUUCUGAUGAGUAUUAUGGGUUCAUACAAUUUUAGUCAAGGGUAGACAAAAUAAGUGGUGAUGCUCUCCUAUAUGACAUAGUUCAGCACUAAACCACAGAUGUCAGAAAUCUGUGCUUAAUUAUUUUCCUUGUUUGAGGGAUUUUUGUACUUGUAUUUACACCUCAGGGACAUUACCUUAACCACCAGUCAACAGUCUUUUGGAGGAUGGGAAAUACCCUGCUGACACUGUAUAAACAACAGACUUUGUAU